rnacentral:rRNA from 1 species
AACGAACGCUGGCGGCAUGCCUAACACAUGCAAGUCGAACGAGACCUUCGGGUCUAGUGGCGCACGGGUGCGUAACGCGUGGGAACCUGCCCUUAGGUUCGGAAUAACUCCCCGAAAGGGGUGCUAAUACCGGAUAAUGUCUUCGGACCAAAGAUUUAUCGCCUUUGGAUGGGCCCGCGUUGGAUUAGCUAGUUUGUAGGGUAAAAGCCUACCAAGGCGACGAUCCAUAGCUGGUCUGAGAGGAGGAUCAGCCACACUGGGACUGAGACACGGCCCAGACUCCUACGGGAGGCAGCAGUGGGGAAUAUUGGACAAUGGGCGAAAGCCUGAUCCAGCAAUGCCGCGUGAGUGAUGAAGGCCUUAGGGUUGUAAAGCUCUUUUACCCGGGAUGAUAAUGACAGUACCGGGAGAAUAAGCUCCGGCUAACUCCGUG